rnacentral:rRNA from 1 species
UUCGAUGAUACGCGAGGAACCUUACCUGGGCUCGAACGUAAGAUGACUGUAGGUGAAAGCUUACAUCUCUUCGGAGCAUUUUACGAGGUGCUGCAUGGUUGUCGUCAGCUCGGUGCCGUGAGGUGUCGGGUUAAGUCCCCAUAACGAGCGCAACCCCUACCUUUAGUUGCCAUCAGGUUAAGCUGGGGACUCUAAAGGAACUGCCUACGCAAGUAGUGAGGAAGGCGGGGAUGACGUCAAAUCAGCACGGCCCUUACGUCCAGGGCUACACACGUGCUACAAUGGCCGAUACAGAGGGCAGCUACCUGGUGACAGGAUGCAAAUCUCCAAAGUCGGUCUCAGUUCGGAUCGGAGUCUGCAACCCGACUCCGUGAAGUUGGAUUCGCUAGUAAUCGCGCAUCAGCCAUGGCGCGGUGAAUACGUUCCCGGGCCUU